CCUACGGGGCGCAGCAGUAGGGAAUCUUCCACAAUGGACGAAAGUCUGAUGGAGCAACGCCGCGUGAGUGAAGAAGGGUUUCGGCUCGUAAAGCUCUGUUGGUAGAGAAGAAAGAUAGAGGUAGUAACUGGCCUUUAUUUGACGGUAAUUACUUAGAAAGUCACGGCUAACUACGUGCCAGCAGCCGCGGUAAUACGUAGGUGGCAAGCGUUGUCCGGAUUUAUUGGGCGUAAAGCGAGUGCAGGCGGUUCAAUAAGUCUGAUGUGUAAGGCCUCGGGUCAACCGGGG
rnacentral:rRNA from 1 species